GUCCGAGUACACAGUUAUCGUCCUUAUAGUCCUUAGUGUGGACAGUGUGUUACUUGCCAAUUUUUGUUAUACCCCUUCCAAAUUUAUUUCUUCAUGUUUUAUGCCUCAUAUAGCAAGUUAGGGGUGAAAUGACACUGUAAAAAAUUUGGGUCAUAAAUAUUAAUGUAAAGUAGUGAUUAGGUCCAGCUGAAAAAGGUAAAAAAUUAGCACUUCGGAAGCUGUCAAAAGAUUUCAAGACCCCCUUAACAUAAAAUUGUCCAUAUUUUGAGUUAGAGCUGAUGAAGUUUUCUAUAAUUUUGAUAUAAUUUGUCCCAAAAGUAGUACAACACACUGUAAAAAUAUUAUUGAGAAAGCGCAGGUGGGAUUUUUUUAUUUUCAUUUAUUGUCUAAAAGAAAUGCACUACGAAAUAACUGUGUACUCGGACCAUAUAUACAACGAUGCGUGAACAAAACA
rnacentral:lncRNA from 1 species